rnacentral:rRNA from 1 species
AUGCAUGCAGUCGUACGCACGCGCUUCGGCGCGUGAGUGGCGCACGGCUGAGUAACACGUGGGAACCCGCCCUCCGGUGGGGGAUAACGCGACGAAAGUCGCGCUAAUCCCGCAUACGUCCGCAAGGGGAAAGCGCUUCGGCGCGCCGGAGGAGGGGCCUGCGGCCCAUCAGGUGGUUGGUGGGGUAACGGCCUACCAAGCCGAUGACGGGUAGCUGGUCUGGGAGGAUGACCAGCCAGACUGGGACUGAGACACGGCCCAGACUCCUACGGGAGGCAGCAGCAAGGAAUUUUCGGCAAUGGGCGCAAGCCUGACCGAGCAACGCCGCGUGCGGGAUGACGGCCUUCGGGUUGUAAACCGCUUUUCGGGGGGACGACUACGACGGUACCCCCGGAAGAAGCCCCGGCUAACUCUGUGCCAGCAGCCGCGGUAAGACAGAGGGGGCGAGCGUUGUCCGGAGUUACUGGGCGUAAAGCGCGCGCAGGCGGUGGUCUCAGUGUCGUGUGAAAGCCCCCGGCUCAACCGGGGGAGGUCAUGGCAAACUAGACGACUGGAGCGGCGGAGAGGCCCCUCGAAUUGCCGGUGUAGCGGUGAAAUGCGUAGAGAUCGGCAGGAA